rnacentral:rRNA from 1 species
GCGUGAGUGAAGAAGGCUCUAGGGUUGUAAAGCUCUUUCAGCAGGGAAGAUGAUGACGGUACCUGCAGAAGAAGCCCCGGCUAACUCCGUGCCAGCAGCCGCGGUAAUACGGAGGGGGCUAGCGUUGUUCGGAAUUACUGGGCGUAAAGGGCAUGUAGGCGGAUAGGCAAGUCAGAGGUGAAAGCCCCGGGCUCAACCCGGGAACUGCCUUUGAGACUGCCAAUCUAGAGUCCGGGAGAGGAUAGUGGAAUUCCCAGUGUAGAGGUGAAAUUCGU